rnacentral:ncRNA from 1 species
CAAAGGGGUGCUCACCCGACUCGGGCAAGCUGAGAUGAUACCCUCAAGACCUGAUCCAGAUCAUACUGGCGUAGGAAUUGUUCAUC